AAGAAUGAGUUAAGUACACAUUUGGGGUCUCACCUUUUGGUUUUUUCACCAUUUGGGACCCGAAGCUUUUUUUUUCACCGUUAAGGACCUAUAAUAAAAUUUCCGGCCAAAAUUAACCCAAUUGUGUGAAAGUUUAGUCCCCUUAGUUAUAAGGUUAGUCCCCUUAGUUAAAGUACACUUGUCAUCAUAUGAUUUGUUCCGCUUAAACAAUGCAAAGGUUUACCUUUCACAUUUACCCUUCUAAAUUCUAAUACUCUGAAUUGUAAUUCGGUCUUCUCCGUCGAGGCGUUGUCUCUUUGAAGAAAUUGCCUUGAACCUCCGGCGCUUAACUUUGGCAAUGUCCGUCCUCUUUCAGAUUUACGCCACUUCUUCCGCCAUUACUUAGAUGUAAAAUGGUUGCGGAAAUGCUUGAUUAUUGCUGUAAAACUUGCUUGAUGCACCUGAUUACAAAUGAGAUGAAGGUUUUGGUUGAUGACAAAAUUACUGGAAUGCUUUCAGAUGUGAAUACUGUAAAUUUUUUUAAGGUGUUUGAUGAUGAACACUUUUUUCAAUUUGGUGUUGGCGUUUGAUGAAAAACAUGGUAACAGGAAGAGUUUUAUAGCAAGCAAUCCUUAACGGUCAUAUUUUGUGUAAUUUGAGAGAUUUUACCUUCAUUUAAUGUUCUGAAAUUAUUAAUUGCAUUUAAAUGUUUUUAUUUUUUAUUUUUA